rnacentral:piRNA from 1 species
GAGGAUCAUGAAGACUGGGCUUC